AAUUUCCCAAUAUUCUCUCACACGAUCCAGUUCAAAUUCCUUUCUCUGUUCUAUUAGACACAUUGAUUGAUACUAUUAAACCCAGAAAAGAGUUGAUCAAACCAAACAAAGUGCCAAAAGAGCAAAAGAGUAUUCAAGGAGGCAGAAAGGAAAAAGAGAGAUAAGAAAAAAGGAAAGCAGAUUGAAGUUGCUUGCUUUGUUUCGAUGGAUGCUUGAUUUGAUUAAAGAAUUUCAAAGGAAAGGGCUUUGAUUGCAUAGAAUUCAGAGAUGGGUCUUACUGUUUAUGCCCUUUGGGGCUUUUCCUUUUGGAAAAACAAAAGACUACUGUAUUUGGUGAAACGGUAUGAAGAGCAAAUUUAGAGUGAAAAGAAGAAGGAGAGGCUUAACUAGGCAAAAUUUAGGGAAGAUAAUGAACUGCCUUUGCUCUGGAGAGCAAUCAAGGCCUGUUGAUGAAAUGGUACCUUCAUCUGAAUCUCUUGCAACCAAGGAUUAUUCGUUGGGCGGUUAUUCUUCUAAAAAUGGCGAAGCAGGCCGGAAGCCAGAUACCAGCAAUAUAGAGGAAGCUGAAUUAACGCUUCGUGAACGCGGUUCUUUGAACUAUGAGGAAGCAAGAGCAUUACUGGGAAAAAUUGAAUAUCAAAAAGGAAAUAUUGAAGCUGCUUUACAUGUAUUUGAAGGAAUAGAUAUUGGUUCAGUAACUCCCAAGAUGAAAAUUACUCUUGCUAGUAAAGGAGAACACCGUAGGCGGCAUUCACAAAAUUUUGCUACCCCACCGAUGUCUGUACAUGCUGUCAGUUUGCUAUUGGAAGCAGUCUUUCUAAAAGCAAAAUCACUGCAGCAUCUUGGGAGGUUUAAUGAAGCUGCUCAAUCUUGCAAAGUUAUUCUGGACAUUGUUGAAUCUUCAUUACCAGAAGGCUUGCCUGAAAACUUUGCUGCUGACUGUAAAUUGCUGGAGACUCUAAACAAGGCUGUUGAGUUGCUUCCAGAACUAUGGAAACUUGCCGAUUGCCCUCGUGAAGCAAUCCUGUCAUACCGGCGGGCUCUCCUCCAUCAUUGGAAUCUUGAUGCUGAAACAACAGCACGGAUUCAAAAAUAUUUUGUCAUUUUUCUUCUAUAUAGUGGAGGUGAAGCAUGCCCCCCAAAUCUUCGCUCUCAGAUGGACAGUUCGUUUGUACCUAGAAACAAUAUAGAAGAGGCUAUACUUCUAUUAAUGAUACUGCUAAGGAAAGUUUCUCUUAAAAAAAUUGAAUGGGAUGAAUCAAUCUUGAAUCACCUGUCUUUUGCUCUCUCAGUGUCGGGGGAUUUAAAGGCAUUAGCCAAUCAAGUUGAGGAAUUGCCUCCCGGUAUUAUUGAUCGAAGAGAAAUGUUUUAUAUGCUAGCUCUUUGUUAUCAUGGUGCUGGUGAGGAUUUGGCUUCUCUGAACCUGCUUAGGAAAUUAUUACAUAGUAGAGAGGAUCCGAAGUGUAUUCCUGCCUUAUUAUUGGCAUCAAAGGUUUGUGUAAAUAUCCCUAAACUUGCAGAAGAAGGACUAAAUUAUUCUCGCAUAGCCCUUGAAAACUUGGAAAGUGGAUGUGAAAAAUUGGAAAGUAUUGCUAAUUGUUUACUGGGGGUCUCACUUUCAGCACUUUCUAAAUCAGCAUUUGCUUAUUCUGAGAGCAUGACAAGACAAUCUGAGGCAUUGCAGGUCCUGGACUCGGCAGGAAAAAUGACAAGGAUGCAAGACUCCCGUAUUCUUUACUAUCUUAGUUUGGAAUAUGCAGAGCAAAGGAAACUAGAUACAGCAUUUUCUUAUGCAUCGCACUUGUUGAAAUUGGAAAAUGGAUCUAAUAUUAAAGGAUGGUUACUGUUGGCCAGGAUCUUAUCUGCUCAGAAACAAUAUGACGAUGCUGAAGCUGUUAUCAGUGCUGCCUUGGAUCAGACCGGGAAAUGGGAUCAGGGAGAACUGUUGAGAACUCAAGCUAAACUACAAAUUGCACAGGGUCAGUUAAAGAGUGCUGUUAAGACGUAUGGACAGCUUCUUGCCAUUCUUCAAGUUCAGUCUAAAAGUUUUAGUUCUGGGAAGAGGCCACGUGAGGGCAAUGGAAACCUUACUAGAAGUUUGGAACUGGAAGUUUGGCAUGAUCUGGCUUCUGUCUACAUAAGUCUGUCACAGUGGCGUGACGCCGAGAUUUGUCUUUCCAAAUCCAAGGCCAUCAGUUCUUUCUCAGCUUCAAGAUGUCUUACAACUGGUUUGCUUUAUGAAAGAAGGGGCCUCCAUAAAGAAGCACUAAAAGUCUUCACUACUGCUCUGGAAAUUGAUCCCAUCCACGUCCCAAGCUUGGUAUCUACAGCUGUGGUUCUUAGAAGACUUGGUGACAAUACAAAUGAAGUAAUCAGAUCCUUUCUAAUGAAUGCGCUACGGCUUGACAGAAUGAAUUCAUCUGCAUGGUAUAAUCUUGGUUUGGUUCAUAAAGCCGAGGGUAGUGCAUCCUCCUUCCAAUACGCAGCUGAAUGUUUCAAGGCUGCAGCCUUUCUUGAAGAGUCAGCACCAGUUGAACCUUUCAGAUGACCAUCACUACUGAGAAGUUCUGCUACUGAUUCUUUGGUAUUUUUUAUUUUUCAAGAGUUUUGUAUUUAUGUUGUAGCCUAUAACUCAAUAGGGAUAAAGAAAAGGAAAAUCUUAUUUGUAAAGUGCAUUUCAGUUGCUUGUCUAAACAACUAUUGGAAUUAGCUACAGGCCUAAUAAAUACACUCUGUUGCAUGAUUAGAAAUAAGCUAAUCGAUCAAUGGUGUUUGUUCGAGCUGUUGGUGUGACGGUCAUUAUUCUUUUAGGCUCAAGCCUGUUGUUGAUAUACUAUGGGAUCCGAAAUGGGUCUCAAGGUGUCAGAGAUUGUGUAUAGCUUAUAGUCGUUCAAUGCAUAUAUCAAA
rnacentral:misc_RNA from 1 species